UACAGAGGUCUCAAGCGUUGUUCGGAUUCAUUGGGCGUAAAGGGUGUGUAGGUGGCGCCGUAAGUCGGGUGUGAAAUUUCGGAGCUUAACUCCGAAACUGCAUUCGAUACUGCGGUGCUUGGGGACUGGAGAGGAGACUGGAAUUCAUGGUGUAGCAGUGAAAUGCGUAGAGAUCAUGAGGAAGACCAGUGGCGAAGGCGGGUCUCUGGACAGUUCCUGACACUGAGGCACGAAGGCCAGGGGGGCAAACGGG
rnacentral:rRNA from 1 species